rnacentral:lncRNA from 1 species
GCAUGUGCGGGAUCGACGUUCAUCGCAUGAACGUUGUUUCAUAAACCGUUCGUAGAUAGAUAAGGAUUAAAAACUUUUAAACUAAUUAGAAGAUCAGAUCUUCACCUUGCGCGGGUAGAUGAUCACCGCAAACUGAUGAUCGUGGUUUUUGGAUGAAGGUUCGCUUGAAGCCGUUCAAGUGCCCGGCCUCUAUGGGUAUCCACACGAAGCAGAGAUCCGAUCAAAGCUCUCUUGUCUUCCCGGGGUGCUAGCUCCCUUGCAAAGACUUCUUUUGAUGGCUGAUCUCCUCUCUUUCUUUCAACUCUUGAAUGUGCUUGAAAGGAGGAAGAAGAAGGAGGGAUAGAGGAAGAGGAACGAAGCCCCUGCAGCCUUUCUUUUCUUCCCUACGUUGGAACCAAGGAAGGAGGCCAAGGAGAGGUGCACGCCUCUUCUUCUUUUUCCUUUGCUGAUGGCGGCUGAACCAAGGAAGGGAGAGGGGUG